GUAUUUACAUGAUAGAAUCAGAAUCCUCUGCUCAGGUUGGUGUAUUUACAUGAUAGAAUCAGAAUCCUCUGGUCAGGUUGGUGUAUUUACAUGAUAGAAUCAGAAUCCUCUGCUCAGGUUGGUGUAUUUACAUGAUAGAAUCAGAAUCCUCUGGUCAGGUUGGUGUAUUUACAUGAUAGAAUCAGAAUCCUCUGGUCAGGUUGGUGUAUUUACAUGAUAGAAUCAGAAUCCUCUGGUCAGGUUGGUGUAUUUACAUGAUAGAAUCAGAAUCCUCUGGUCAGGUUGGUGUAUUUACAUGAUAGAAUCAGAAUCCUCUGGUCAGGUUGGUGUAUUUACAUGAUAGAAUCAGAAUCCUCUGGUCAGGUUGGUAUAUUUACUCCUCCUCCGCAAGGGAUGAUUAGUCCAAGUCCCGAUGCCGCAUGCAUGAGGGGACAUUUAAUCACUAACUUCCCCGCAAUAGUUGAUUUACAUAGUUGCUCUACAAAUCUACAGUUAAGUAUUUGAGGCCAUUAGCACGCAUUUGUACAGCAAUCAAAAUCAUCCCACAUGGAUCUAGUCUAACGUUGUUUAGGUCUCGUGUAUUCCUGCGCUAAUCAGGAAGACAAGCAUCUUGGUUCUAAAUUUCUCUCAUGUACUGGUGUAGAGGGAAAUUUAGGAGG